UCAUUAUUUUUUAUUUAUAAUAAGUUUUGUGAAUAGUUAAUCAAUGAUCUCUUCAAACAUAUAUGUAAGUAUACAAUGUGGACCUAUUUAGGAAAAAAAACAGAGGAUGAAAUGAAUUAUAUAGGAGGUAUUCAGAUGUGGGAAAAAAGUUGGAGGUGUCACGAGAGAAAGCAAUGCACAACCGGCUGCUGGUGCUCAGGCCAGCUCUCUGACAUUCUAGCGUGUUCACCUCUUCAGGAUUGUUUCCUUAUGUAGAAAAUGCCAGGGUUGGAGUAAAUGUCCUUGCCAGGAAUUCUAUUCUAUGGUUAGAGAUGUAACUUCCUUAUGCAGAUUCUCCAGCAUCAUUCGCAUGUGGUUCUAGCAUUUUAAACCUUCUGAUACUGUAUGAAAAUGGAAGACUCAUUCAUCAAGUCAUGGCUUAUUUGUGUAUUUAUACUUUUUGCCACUUUUCCCCAUUUCUGGAAAGAAUUCAGUUAUCAUCCCUAUUGAAUGGUAAGUGAAAGUCCGUGGAAGCAGGAAGCAAGACAUGCAUGGUGAGAUGGCUCCACCCCUGACAGCCGCUGGACAAAGGCAGAAUGGCAUGUUGAAAAAUGCAUCCAGGCCUCAGAACUACAGGCUGUGUUAGCUUGGAGAAGACCGAUAAAAUUUGACUCAUGAAGAGAG